rnacentral:rRNA from 1 species
UACGUAGGUGGCUAGCGUUGUCCGGAUUUACUGGGCGUAAAGAGUGUGUAGGCGGUGCUCUAAGUUCGGUGUGAAAUCUCCUGGCUCAACUGGGAGGGUGCGCCGGAAACUGGAGUGCUUGAGCGUGGGAGAGGAAAGCGGAAUUCCUGGUGUAGCGGUGAAAUGCGUAGAUAUCAGGAGGAACACCUGUGGUGUAGACGGCUUUCUGGACCAUAGCUGACGCUGAGACACGAAAGCGUGGGUAGCAAACAGG